GACGAACGCUGGCGGCGUGCCUAAUACAUGCAAGUAGAACGCUGAAGCGAGGAGCUUGCUCUUCUUGGAUGAGUUGCGAACGGGUGAGUAACGCGUAGGUAACCUGCCUGGUAGCGGGGGAUAACUAUUGGAAACGAUAGCUGAUACCGCAUAAAAUUGAUUAUUGCAUGAUAAUUAAUUGAAAGAUGCAACUGCAUCACUACCAGAUGGACCUGCGUUGUAUCAGCUAGUUGGUGAGGUAACGGCUCACCAAGGCGACGAUACAUAGCCGACCUGAGAGGGUGAUCGGCCACACUGGGACUGAGACACGGCCCAGACUCCUACGGGAGGCAGCAGUAGGGAAUCUUCGGCAAUGGGGGGAACCCUGACCGAGCAACGCCGCGUGAGUGAAGAAGGUUUUCGGAUCGUAAAGCUCUGUUGUAAGAGAAGAACGGGUGUGAGAGUGGAAAGUUCACACUGUGACGGUAUCUUACCAGAAAGGGACGGCUAACUACGUG
rnacentral:rRNA from 1 species